rnacentral:rRNA from 1 species
CCUACUGGUGGCAUCAUUGGGGCAUCUUGCACAAUGGGGGGAACCCUGAUGCAGCGACGCCGCGUGGGUUCUUCCUUCUUUCUUUCUUUCCCUCCCUCUCCGCCGUUCCGCCGCCCUGCCGGUCCCUGCGUCAGAAGCCCCGGCUAAAUACGUGCCAGCAGCCGCGGUAAUACGUAUGGUGCCCGCGUUAUCCGGCUUUCCUGGGUGUCCCGGGAGCGCAGGCGGCCCGGCACGCCUGAUGUGAAAGCCCGCGGCCCAACCGCGGGACUGCAUUGGGAACUACCGGGCUGGAGUGCCGGAGAGGUAGGCGGAAUUCCUAGUGUAGCGGUGAAAUGCGUAGAUAUUAGGAGGAACACCAGUGGCGAAGGCGGCCUACUGGACGGUGACUGACGCUGAGGCUCGAAAGCGUGGGGAGCAAACAGGAUUAGAGACCCUGGUAGUC